rnacentral:rRNA from 1 species
GAUGAACGCUGGCGGCGUGCCUAAUACAUGCAAGUCGAGCGAACGGACGAGAAGCUUGCUUCUCUGAUGUUAGCGGCGGACGGGUGAGUAACACGUGGAUAACCUACCUAUAAGACUGGGAUAACUUCGGGAAACCGGAGCUAAUACCGGAUAAUAUUUUGAACCGCAUGGUUCAAAAGUGAAAGACGGUCUUGCUGUCACUUAUAGAUGGAUCCGCGCUGCAUUAGCUAGUUGGUAAGGUAACGGCUUACCAAGGCAACGAUGCAUAGCCGACCUGAGAGGGUGAUCGGCCACACUGGAACUGAGACACGGUCCAGACUCCUACGGGAGGCAGCAGUAGGGAAUCUUCCGCAAUGGGCGAAAGCCUGACGGAGCAACGCCGCGUGAGUGAUGAGGGUCUUCGGAUCGUAAAACUCUGUUAUUAGGGAAGAACAUAUGUGUAAGUAACUGUGCACAUCUUGACGGUACCUAAUCAGAAAGCCACGGCUAACUACGUGCCAGCAGCCGCGGUAAUACGUAGGUGGCAAGCGUUAUCCGGAAUUAUUGGGUGUAAGGCGCGCGUAGGCGGUUUUUUAGUCUGAUGUGAAAGCCCACGGCCUCACCGUGGAGGGUCAUUGGAAACUGGAAAACUUGAGUGCAGAAGAGGAAAGUGGAAUUCCAUGUGUAGCGGUGAAAUGCGCAGAGAUAUGGAGGAACACCAGUGGCGAAGGCGACUUUCUGGUCUGUAACUGACGCUGAUGUGCGAAAGCGUGGGGAUCAAACAGGAUUAGAUACCCUGGUAGUCCACGCCGUAAACGAUGAGUGCUAAGUGUUAGGGGGUUUCCGCCCCUUAGUGCUGCAGCUAACGCAUUAAGCACUCCGCCUGGGGAGUACGACCGCAAGGUUGAAACUCAAAGGAAUUGACGGGGACCCGCACAAGCGGUGGAGCAUGUGGUUUAAUUCGAAGCAACGCGAAGAACCUUACCAAAUCUUGACAUCCUUUGACAACUCUAGAGAUAGAGCUUUCCCCUUCGGGGGACAAAGUGACAGGUGGUGCAUGGUUGUCGUCAGCUCGUGUCGUGAGAUGUUGGGUUAAGUCCCGCAACGAGCGCAACCCUUAAGCUUAGUUGCCAUCAUUAAGUUGGGCACUCUAAGUUGACUGCCGGUGACAAACCGGAGGAAGGUGGGGAUGACGUCAAAUCAUCAUGCCCCUUAUGAUUUGGGCUACACACGUGCUACAAUGGACAAUACAAAGGGCAGCGAAACCGUAAGGUCAAGCAAAUCCCAUAAAGUUGUUCUCAGUUCGGAUUGUAGUCUGCAACUCGACUACAUGAAGCUGGAAUCGCUAGUAAUCGUAGAUCAGCAUGCUACGGUGAAUACGUUCCCGGGUCU